CACGUAGGGGCCAAGCGUUGUCCGGAUUUAUUGGGCGUAAAGAGCUCGUAGGCGGUUGGGUAAGUCGGGUGUGAAAACUCCAGGCUCAACUUGGAGACGCCACCCGAUACUGCUCUGACUUGAGUUCGGUAGGGGAGUGGGGAAGUUCCUGGUGUAGCGGUGAAAUGCGCAGAUAUCAGGAGGAACACCGGUGGCGAAGGCGCCACUCUGGGCCGAAACUGACGCUGAGGAGCGAAAAGCGUGGGGAGCGAACAGG
rnacentral:rRNA from 1 species